rnacentral:rRNA from 1 species
CAGUGGGGAAUAUUGCACAAUGGGGGAAACCCUGAUGCAGCCAUGCCGCGUGUGUGAAGAAGGCCUUCGGGUUGUAAAGCACUUUCAGUUGUGAGGAAAAGUUAGUAGUUAAUACCUGCUAGCCGUGACGUUAACAACAGAAGAAGCACCGGCUAACUCCGUGCCAGCAGCCGCGGUAAUACGGAGGGUGCGAGCGUUAAUCGGAAUUACUGGGCGUAAAGCGCACGCAGGCGGUUUGUUAAGCUAGAUGUGAAAGCCCCGGGCUCAACCUGGGAUGGUCAUUUAGAACUGGCAGACUAGAGUCUUGGAGAGGGGAGUGGAAUUCCAGGUGUAGCGGUGAAAUGCGUAGAUAUCUGGAGGAACAUCAGUGGCGAAGGCGACUCCCUGGCCAAAGACUGACGCUCAUGUGCGAAAGUGUGGGUAGCGAACAGGAUUAGAUACCCUGGUAGUCCACACCGUAAACGCUGUCUACUAGCUGUUUGUGACUUUAAGUCGUGAGUAGCGAAGCUAACGCGCUAAGUAGACCGCCUGGGGAGUACGGCCGCAAGGUUAAAACUCAAAUGAAUUGACGGGGGCCCGCACAAGCGGUGGAGCAUGUGGUUUAAUUCGAUGCAACGCGAAGAACCUUACCUACACUUGACAUGCAGAGAACUUUCU